rnacentral:rRNA from 1 species
GAUGAACGCUGGCGGCGUGCCUAAUACAUGCAAGUCGAGCGAACGGACGAGAAGCUUGCUUCUCUGAUGUUAGCGGCGGACGGGUGAGUAACACGUGGAUAACCUACCUAUAAGACUGGGAUAACUUCGGGAAACCGGAGCUAAUACCGGAUAAUAUUUUGAACCGCAUGGUUCAAAAGUGAAAGACGGUCUUGCUGUCACUUAUAGAUGGAUCCGCGCUGCAUUAGCUAGUUGGUAAGGUAACGGCUUACCAAGGCAACGAUGCAUAGCCGACCUGAGAGGGUGAUCGGCCACACUGGAACUGAGACACGGUCCAGACUCCUACGGGAGGCAGCAGUAGGGAAUCUUCCGCAAUGGGCGAAAGCCUGACGGAUCAACGCCGCGCGAGUGAUGAAGGUCUUCGGGUCGUAAAACUCUGUUAUUAGGGAAGAACAUAUGUGUAAGUAACUGUGCACAUCUUGACGGUACCUAAUCAGAAAGCCACGGCUAACUACGUG